GGAAGGAUCAUUACUACACGCCCUUACGGGCCAUGAGUCACCAACGAUUCCCGUUUGCAUUUUCCGUUCUGGCGAGUGUGGCGGGGAUCACAUCAUCUAAGUUUUAGAAACAUAAUAAAUAAAUAUUACAACUUUCAACAAUGGAUCUCUUGGUUCUUGCAUCGAUGAAAAACGCAGCUAAAUGUGACAAUUAAUGUGACUUGCAGAGUACGUGAAUCAUCAAGUAUUUGAAUGCACAUUGCACUUUCUGUUCAAGAAAGUAUACCUGUUUGAGUACCAUAUUCUUUUCCCUUUAAUGGAAACGUGUGUCAUCCGUUGCGCUUUUAGCGGCGACGGCGAUACAAAAUUUAGAGUCCAACUCGAGACGUAAAAACAUUGCAAAAUGAUUGAACGUUGCGUGUUGCUUUACUACACCUUUUUUGAAUUGAUCUCAAAUCAGGCAGGACUACCCGCUGAACUUAAGCAUAUCAAUAAGCGGAGGAAAAGAAACUAACAAGGAUUCCCUUAGUAACGGCGAGUGAAGCGGGAAAAGCUCAAAUUUUAAAUCGGAUCAGUUUCUGGUCCGAGUUGUAAUCUAGAGAUGUGUUUUCUGCCGCGACGCAAGUAUAAAUCCUUUGGAACAGGGUAUCAUGGAGGGUGAGAAUCCCGUCUUUGACUUGCACUCGUGGGUUAUGUAACACUAUCAAUGAGUCGCGUUGUUUGGGAAUGCAGCGCUAAAUGGGUGGUAAAUUUCAUCUAAAGCUAAAUAUUGGCAAGAAACCGAUAGCAAACAAGUACCGUGAGGGAAAGAUGAAAAGAACUUUGAAAAGAGAGUUAAACAGUAUGUGAAAUUGUUGAAAGGGAAAUGUUUGGAAAUCUUAAUGCGGCUGGUGUUUCAGCUUGACGGUCCGUUUAUUCUGGCCGUCAAGUGCAUUACAUCAAUCGCGAGUCAACAUCAGUUAUGCUUCAUCUAGAAAGUCCGAGGUCUUUGGUCCUUUUGGGCCAAUUCUCGGAUUUUGUGUUUGGCGUGACUGAGGACCGCUAUCCACCGCAAGGGGGAAGCAUGCCGUUGUGUUUGGUUGUCGGUGGAUUGUACGCAGUCUGCCGUCAUCCCACGCAUUGGCGGUAUGCCUUCUUUUGGAUAAAGGAUGUUGACUUACAAUUUCCAAACAACCCGUCUUGAAACACGGACCAAGGAGUCUAACAAAUAUGCAAGUGUUUGGGUGCAAAACCCACACGCGUAAUUAACGUGAACAAAUGCCAACGCAAGUGCAGCAUUGACCGGUCUGGAUUUUUAAUGAUGGAUCUGAGUAUGAGCAUAUUUGUUAGGACCCGAAAGAUGGUGAACUAUGCCUGAAUAGGGUGAAGCCAGAGGAAACUCUGGUGGAGGCUCGUAGCGAUUCUGACGUGCAAAUCGAUCGUCAAAUUUGGGUAUAGGGGCGAAAGACUAAUCGAACCAUCUAGUAGCUGGUUCCUGC
rnacentral:misc_RNA from 1 species